GCAGUUUAGAUUGCAUUUGCAAAAGAACUGAAAACAGAAUGAAGAGAAUGAUGAAAAAUUCAUUGACCAAUUAUCUGAACAAAUAUUGUUUCCUCAAACUUACUUAUUUACCCGUUCAAUCAGCCUGGUAUUAUGCAUUCAUUCGAACAUCAGUUCUUAUUUUAUUAAUAGCUGCAACCAUUAGAACCAUCGUUUUGAUGAUCGUCAAGUUUGACCAUUCAACUGCACUCGCUUGGGGAGAUUAUGCUGUUAACUGGCCGAAACCUCAUCAGUUUUUGUUAGGCAUUAACAGUCUUUGGUUCUUCUGUGGUUGGUGUGCAGUUACCUUGUUACAGCGAACGAAUGUUUCACCCAAGAAACAAUUUUGGUUUCAUUCUUUAUCCAUAUUAGAUGAGUAUAUUUAUGACUGGACUAAAGAAACCAAAUCAAUCAUCAUUUACCUUUUCUUUUCCGCUUUAAAGUGUAAUCUAUUUCUUGGUGCUGCGUUUAGUUGGUGUCUGUACAUCCCAGUGUUCAUCGAAAGUGAAUCAAUCAUCAAUUUUUCCAUCUCAACCUUACAGCUUUCAAUGCAGCUAUUGGCGGCUUUUGUUGCACCGCUUUCUGUGUCAACUUUUCCUUCAUAUUUGCGUUCUACUCUUUAAACAGUGGAUUCAAAUAUCAUAAAAUUGCUUCGAGAUUAAGCCGUCAAGUUUCGAAACCUUCGAAUUUCUUAAUUAUUCACAAGAUAAAUCGUGAUUUAAUUGAGUUAUUGGUUGAAAAUUAUAAGUCAAACUCUUUUUGGACGCAACUGAACUCAACUGUUUUUCUGGGAACUUUUCUCGCUCAAAUUCCCAUUCUUUACUUGAUCUUCUUUGUACCUUUGACUAACUUCAUCAAAUUUUCAAUGGUCAUCCUUGGUGCACUUAACUUUCUUUGUGGACAAUCGAUUACCUUUCUAAGUGGCAGUAGUGCUCAAUCAAAGUUUGACGAAUGUCGGAAACAAUUAAAUCUUAUUUUGAUCAACCGUGAUGAUCUAAGGUUAUAUCACAGAAUAAAGUUGCUUUGUUCGGCCGAUUAUUUGAUCAAUCACCAAUUGUUCUACAUCUUUGGACACUUUGAAUUUACUCGCGUAAAUUAUCUUCUGGUGAUUCUGGAAAUCAUAUCACACCUGUUGCUGCUCAUUGCUAAUGCUGGCAUUAACUGAGCAAUGCUCAGUGUUCAUUUAUAUACUGUUUUCUGAUUUUCAUGAUACUGUACAUGAUGCAUCUAAUUUGGAAAAAAUUACAUCAAAUAUGUAAA